rnacentral:tRNA from 1 species
GAGGUUGUGGCUCAGUGGUAGAGUGCUUACCUACCACUGCAUGAGGCACUGGGUUCGAUCCUCAGCACCACA